rnacentral:rRNA from 1 species
GAGUUUGAUCUUGGCUCAGGAUGAACGCUAGCGGGCAGCCUAACACAUGCAAGUCGAGGGGUAACAGGGUGCUUGCACCGCUGACGACCGGCGCACGGGUGCGUAACGCGUAUACAAUCUGCCUUGUACUGGGGGAUAGCCUUUGGAAACGAAGAUUAAUACCCAUAGUAAGUAAUGAUGGCAUCAUUAUUACUUUAAAGGUUACGGUACAAGAUGAGUAUGCGUCCUAUUAGCUUGUUGGUAAGGUAACGGCUUACCAAGACUACGAUAGGUAGGGGCCCUGAGAGGGGGAUCCCCCACACUGGUACUGAGACACGGACCAGACUCCUACGGGAGGCAGCAGUGAGGAAUAUUGGACAAUGGGCGAGAGCCUGAUCCAGCCAUGCCGCGUGCAGGAAGACGGCCCUAUGGGUUGUAAACUGCUUUUAUACAGGAAGAAACACCUCUACGUGUAAAGUCUUGACGGUACUGUAAGAAUAAGGACCGGCUAACUCCGUGCCAGCAGCCGCGGUAAUACGGAGGGUCCAAGCGUUAUCCGGAAUCAUUGGGUUUAAAGGGUCCGUAGGCGGGCAGCUAAGUCAGUGGUGAAAGUCUGUGGCUCAACCAUAGAAUUGCCAUUGAUACUGGUUGUCUUGAAUUAUUGUGAAGUGGUUAGAAUAAGUAGUGUAGCGGUGAAAUGCAUAGAUAUUACUUAGAAUACCAAUUGCGAAGGCAGAUCACUAACAAUCAAUUGACGCUGAUGGACGAAAGCGUGGGGAGCGAACAGGAUUAGAUACCCUGGUAGUCCACGCCGUAAACGAUGGAUACUAGCUGUUCGAGAGCAAUCUUGAGUGGCUAAGCGAAAGUGAUAAGUAUCCCACCUGGGGAGUACGUUCGCAAGAAUGAAACUCAAAGGAAUGACGG